AGCGGGGUAGGGCAGCCAGGAGUGCCCGUCGGGCUCAUAACCCGGAGGUCGGAAGUUCAAAUCUUCCCCCCGCUA
rnacentral:tRNA from 2 species